rnacentral:rRNA from 1 species
GAUGAAGCCGAAGCUUGCUUUGGUGGAUUAGUGGCGAACGGGUGAGUAACACGUGAGUAACCUGCCCCUGACUCUGGGAUAAGCCUGGGAAACUGGGUCUAAUACCGGAUAUGACUGCGGAACGCAUGUUCUGUGGUGGAAAGAUUUAUCGGUUGGGGAUGGACUCGCGGCCUAUCAGCUUGUUGGUGAGGUAAUGGCUCACCAAGGCGACGACGGGUAGCCGGCCUGAGAGGGUGACCGGCCACACUGGGACUGAGACACGGCCCAGACUCCUACGGGAGGCAGCAGUGGGGAAUAUUGCACAAUGGGCGAAAGCCUGAUGCAGCGACGCCGCGUGAGGGAUGACGGCCUUCGGGUUGUAAACCUCUUUCAGUAGGGAAGAAGCGAGAGUGACGGUACCUGCAGAAGAAGCGCCGGCUAACUACGUGCCAGCAGCCGCGGUAAUACGUAGGGCGCAAGCGUUAUCCGGAUUUAUUGGGCGUAAAGAGCUCGUAGGCGGUUUGUCGCGUCUGCCGUGAAAGUCCGAGGCUCAACCUCGGAUCUGCGGUGGGUACGGGCAGACUAGAGUGAUGUAGGGGAGACUGGAAUUCCUGGUGUAGCGGUGAAAUGCGCAGAUAUCAGGAGGAACACCGAUGGCGAAGGCAGGUCUCUGGGCAUUUACUGACGCUGAGGAGCGAAAGCAUGGGGGAGCGAACAGGAUUAGAUACCCUGGUAGUCCAUGCCGUAAACGUUGGGCACUAGGUGUGGGGGACAUUCCACGUUUUCCGCGCCGUAGCUAACGCAUUAAGUGCCCCGCCUGGGGAGUACGGCCGCAAGGCUAAAACUCAAAGGAAUUGACGGGGGCCCGCACAAGCGGCGGAGCAUGCGGAUUAAUUCGAUGCAACGCGAAGAACCUUACCAAGGCUUGACAUGUUCCAGACCGGGCUAGAGAUAGUCCUUCCCUUCGGGGCUGGUUCACAGGUGGUGCAUGGUUGUCGUCAGCUCGUGUCGUGAGAUGUUGGGUUAAGUCCCGCAACGAGCGCAACCCUCGUUCCAUGUUGCCAGCACGUAGUGGUGGGGACUCAUGGGAGACUGCCGGGGUCAACUCGGAGGAAGGUGGGGAUGACGUCAAAUCAUCAUGCCCCUUAUGUCUUGGGCUUCACGCAUGCUACAAUGGCCGGUACAAUGGGUUGCGAUACUGUGAGGUGGAGCUAAUCCCUAAAAGCCGGUCUCAGUUCGGAUUGGGGUCUGCAACUCGACCCCAUGAAGUCGGAGUCGCUAGUAAUCGCAGAUCAGCAACGCUGCGGUGAAUACGUUCCCGGGCCUUGUACACACCGCCCGUCAAGUCAAGAAAAAGUGAGC